UGGCCCAGAUGCAAACCGGGCGGGAUGGCAGCCCCGGAGAUAGAGAUGUGGGAUCUCUCGGGGAAAACAGGGGCUCCCAUCGGACGGGCGCGCAUCUCCCCCCGACGAAGGUCAUUAAGUUAGGCAGCCCGACUGCCGACCGAGUGCCCAAGGCAUUGUGGGAGUCCUGAUUCCGAGAGGCCCGCGAUUUAAAAUUGAACUUGUCAGUGCCCGGUCACGGGAGCAUGCAGACCCUGACUUCUGAGCAGGACCACCACUGCAUCCGCCAGCAGGUCCGUGCCCUCGCUGGUUUCCAUCCGCCUCUCCUCACAAUGUCCAAUGAGAGCCAAGAGCUAACCCACUUGUAGGAAAUUACUUUCAGUGGUCCUCUGACCCUUGUGCAGUUCCAAACAGAAGACACAUUUCACACGAUGCCUCUAUUCAUUUCACAAGUGUUUAGUGAGCAUUCACCAUGAUAAGUCCUGUUCUGGGACCUGUGGUUGCAGUAAAAAGACCCAAUCACUUUUCUCAAGGAGUUUGCUGUCUGCUAGGGGGAGGGUGACAGGCACUAAACCAAUAAAGAAUUAAUCCAAAGAAAAAGAUAAAUAAAUACAGGAGGCAAUUUCAGAUGGAGGUAAGUGCUAUGAGAUCAAAGAAAGCAGGUUGAGCAGAUGAGGAGGGGUGUUUGUGGUUGAACGGGAAGGUGAAGAAUCGAGGUGGUCAGAGAUAGACAGAGUCCUCGAGGAUGUGAAGAAUAUCUACAGAAGGACCAUUCGAAGUGUGGGAACCACAGGUCUAGAGCCUUAAGUACCAAACUCAGGCUAGGACUGGAAGUCCAAUGGUGAAUAAAAACCAGUAGGACACUUCAAGGAGCUUAUAGUCAAGAAAGAAAAAUAAUGCAUCUUAAAUCAAUCGCAUUCAACAUGGAAAGCUACAAUCAUGAUACUUUUGGUCAGUGGGGACCACUGAAGAGUUUGCUUAAUCUCAGAACAAAAUGGACAAUGUGCUGCCAAAAGAGCGGGCCCUGGUCAGAGCGCACGGGGCAGCAGAUGGCUGAAGCCCUGGCAGAGGAAAGGGGUUCGUUCGGACACCCUUCGCUGUAAGACAUGUAAACAUUGGAGUCUUACAUCCCGGAGCUGCGGAGGAUCCAGAAAGUGGUUGCCUCCCUGCUUUGAAGGAUGUGAAAUAUGUGAUGUGUAUGUAUGUGAAAUUUAUUUUUUUUCCUGAAAGUCAAUGCAGUAUAGAAAAUCCAAAACUAAAGAAGAUAGAAUAUAUUUAUAAAAAUCAGCAGUGAUCCCCAGUUUCCCAAGAGAGUUACUGGUAAUAUUACUUCAGUCCUUCCAAGCAUUUCUCAACACAUUUUUGCAUAAUUGAUAUUGCACUGUGUAAUACACAGUUUUGUAAGUUCCCCCCACGUACUCUCAUGAUAUAACUUCAUAAAAUGAAAGACAUCCCCCAUGUCAUUCAUUAUAACCUCACAGCUAAGGAGGGGUCAGGCCUCCUGCUCCGCAGUGCGGUGUGUCUCAGAUCCUGAAUUAAUGUGUCUAAUGUGUCAUACAACUCUAAACACUCCACCUGCGAUAUACACAUGUCUUCUCACAUGGACAGUCAUUACGGAAAAGAAAAUAUAUAGUAAUGCUCUUUGAAUAAGUACAAUGGUUACAAAAAUAAAUAUGAAACAGGUAGUCAGAAGGUCAAAGUUCACAUAUUACUUAUGUACACUUGUACAAAUUACCUGCAGUAGUGUGAAACAGUUUCUGCCAUCUCAUAAAAUUGUGUGUUGUGGCUUAGCCCAGAAUCCCUUUGUAAUAUUUAAAAAUUAAUAUGUAAUAGGUCUUACAGUAGAAAUGCGACACUGUAUUUUAUGUACUAUAAUCCAAACAUUUCUAUGUAUUAACGCUGUUCCAAGAAGAAUAAAUGCAACUGAAAAAAA